ACGUCGAAUGUGAGGAUUGGAGAAAACUAAACAGAUAAUCAGGUGAUUUUGUUUCAUGCAUCUGUUUAGUAUCCUCCAAUAUCUCAUCUCCGGCCU
rnacentral:pre_miRNA from 1 species